GAGCCAAAAAUAAGAGGAAAAGCUUCUAACUCUGUCCCCAAGCGGUGAAAGUCCGUUUAUGGCUCU
rnacentral:tRNA from 1 species